UUCUGAGAUGAAGGGGUUAUUGUAGGUAUUAGUGUCUUAUUAUCUAGUAUAUUUGAGACCCAUUGACCCUCAUUUUGCUUUAUUUUAUGGUAAGAAUAAAAAAGAUACAAAGUAAGUUAUACUCAUAUAUGAGGCCCAUGUAUGUUUAUUUCUAACGGUUUGUCCUAUGAAGAAAUAGAAACAACCUUAAGCUUAAGUGGCUCCUAUUACUUUACUUAGUAAUAUCAUAUAGUGUACAAUAGUGUUAUAUCCCUGGUUUGGUCUUCCAGUACUAGGAACUAGGACAAUAAUUGAUAGGCAUGCCACUUGACAAGUUAAAGAGAACUGUUAAAAAUCUACUGAUAGUGAUCCUCAUGAAAAUUCAGGAGAUUGUAAAGGUUAGUUCAAACUGUAAAGUGUGUCUUAGGUGCUCAGUAUUUGGAAAAUUGGAAGUUACAGAUUAGAGAAAGGACUGUAGACCAAACAGAAGCAUAGAACAGACUGAAGCAUGCACAGUAUCCUUUCCUUUUCAUUCUUUCACUUAUUUGUUCUUUGCUUUUUGCUUUUGGCAAAAACAUUUCUCAUUUUGGAUUGUCACAGAAUAAAUUUAUGUUUAGAAUAUAUUUAAAAGAAGAAAAAGGUAGGAAUUGGCUUCCCCAUUAGAGUACAAAAUUGAAUUUACACCAGAUUAGAGCAAGGACAGAGGAAGACACUAGAUCAUGGGCCUGGAUAGGCAUAAAUGGAUGAGGUGGGAAGAAAAAGAGUAGGAAAUGGAAGCAGCACAUAGGUUUAGGUAAGCACUUAGUCUGUAUACUUGAAGACAUAUUGCGAACUUUAGAUUACUCCACCCUACUUAGUCUAACAAAAGCAGGAAUAUCUACACCCAUACUUAAGUAUUAAGUAUUUAGGAGGAUGGCCUAUGACAGACAUGUGCUAGCAAAUGACAAAUCAGAAACAACUGACAGACCCCCAGGCUGUCCUGAGUCAAGCUUAAGCUACCAUUGGUACAUGUAAGAUGCAGGAAAGUGAUGUAAAAACCAUCUAUCUAUUUCGUGUCACUUCCUCUCUCCAGCCUCUUUUGCGGCGGAGAGGUGGCUGGUGGAGCCUGCUGAGCUUUUCGGCAUCUUGGGUGGUGGCUGCUAUUGUCCGGGUUUAGCAGUGAGUUUUCCUUAAUACCAUACUGGAGGAAGCUGAGUAGCCUAGUUCAGGUGAGGCAUCUUUACUGAGCUCUAUCGGAGUUUAGGCUGAUUCUUUCUCCUUUACCUUCCAAACACUAUCCUCUUAGAAAGCCACUAAUCUUCAUAGACCUCAUGGCAGAGGACUUUUAACUUCCCCUGGCACAGACCAGGUGGGAGAAAUCCUACACCCUUUCCCUCUCCUUAAUUCCUUCCCUCUAUAUUAAUUAAACCACCAUAAAUUUCCAAACUGACUUGGGUGUUUUAUUUGAGAUAUUCCCUGGUGACCAAAAUUAAUUUAGACUAAGUCACAACCCUAAAAUUAUCCUUAUAGUUGGGAGGUGUAAAACUCAGUUACCACCUGCUUUCAAGGACCAUAUUAUCCUAGACAAUAGUUCUAAGUUGGCACACUUUGUUAGCCAUUCAAUGAAGCAUGACUGCAUGAUUUAGAGAUGUGUAUAUCUGGGAGGCAAGUAGAAGUCUUCUUCACUUCACUUCAGACUGAUGUGAGUGACACUGGACACUUUCUUUCCACUUCUCUUCCCCUUACCCAUUUGGUCUUGGAUGGGAAGGAGGAAAAAGAAUGGAACUUCUUGAAAUUCUUUAGUGAAGGCCUUAUUUUCCUUGGCAUAAUCAGGGAUAUAUAAGAAGUAUAAAAUAAAUAAAGAAUAGGGCAAUAAAUGUGUAUUGCAUAUGUAAUGCUUGCAGAAAGCUGUUAAGUAUAAAAAUGUCCACUUAAAGACUAUGGUUUCUUUAGGGACUCAUAUACAUAAUGAAAUAGUUAAUUAACAUUAUAAGACCACAUAUGGAUUAAAUGUUAAAUGUUAGUGAUAGCAACAUUAGGAGCUAAAAGAAUUCAGUGGGUUAACUACAAUAUUUGAAUCAGACUAUUUUGGUAAACUACUCUUUAAUUAUGAAUGCUUUCUCUCACUUUUUGUCAUAACUGAAAUAAAUACACACCAUAUAUACCACACCCAGGAUAGAGAAAGGAAUAAAUACAUACCAUAUCUCACAGAAAUGUCAUCUUUUUUGAUAUUCUUGAUUAGUAGAACAUGAGAAAGGAUUGGAUCUCAUGUUCUACAGUGCUUUUUCAAGGUUAUUGGUUUCUCAACCCCUUUGCUCUUCUCAUUAUUUAAAGUAUUUGACAUUCUACUAUAUUAUACUCUAAAUCUUUGCUGCUUUAUUUUAUUGCCCCCUUUAUCUUCUUCAGUUAUUUAUCACUGCCUUGCAUAUUUUCUUUUGAUCCCCUUUUUUUGUUGAUGAAUCACCUGACUUAACCUUACAAUUAUUUCCCUACUUUAAUCCCAUUUCAACUAAAUUUAGUUCAGUUCACCAUCCAUUUAUUUAGAACUGACCACACGUAGUGAACUUUGUUAGAUGUUGGAAAUACAAAGAAUAAAGCAAGAUGAUGCAAGAGGAGAGGUACAAUUUAAAAUUUGGUAGCUCAUAGGAGAAUACCAAGCCAAGGUGCUUGACAGAAUGGAGAAAAGGAGAAUUAUAUUUCCUCCAUAUUCCUUUCAAUGCAAGUCUUUAUUAGUCAUUAUUAAUGUUUGGAAAGCACCAUGGUAAGUGUUUGGGAGACAAAAAAAAAAGGUAAAAGAAUCCCUGCUCUCAAGGCACUUCUGUACUAUUGGAAAAUAUAAUAGAUAAUAGGAUCAGGAAAUACAAAAUAACUUGAAUAGGAUGUUGGAGAACCCUAACAAGUAAUGAGACAUUGGUGAGAGAAAUAAAUUGUAAAUGUGAUAACCUUUGAAAGACUUUUAAAAACUGACGAAUGCAGUGAUAAAUUAUAAAUCUGAAAAAAUGAAGAUAAAAGCAUACUAUUCACUUCUGACCAAGAUUCACUUCUGCAGAAAGCGACAACUAAAAUGGAGAUUUAUGUUGCCAUUCUCUGUAGAAAUGUAUUAAAAGAUUUGGGGGGUGUUGUUCUUUUUUUAAAAUUUGCUUAAUGGGGUGAGGUUAAUGGGAGAAAGAGGUGAAUAGAAAAUACUUGUUACUUGGAAAAAAAGAAUGAGGGAAAUAUGAGCAUGUUUAUAUACAGUGAGCAAGGAGCUGAUGAAAAAUAAGAGAGUGAAACUUAAAGAGAAGAGAGAGGGGAGAUCACCUUAAGAAGAAAGCUCCCAAAGGAGAUAGAAAGGAAUUAGGAUUAAGGAUGCAAGCAGAAGGUUAAAGGUGUAGAGAAUUGGCAAUAAGGAACUCCCUCCAAAUCUUUUUCUUCAUUUUCUCAAUAAGGCAAUAAAGCAUGAAGCAAGUUAUUUUCUGCCGAAAGGGAGUUAAGAUUUAUAAGGAUAAUAGCAGUAAUUUUUAGAUCGUAUAAAUUUGGGUUAGUCAGAUCAGGGAGGAUUAGCAUAGCUUGUGAAACACAGGAAAAGCGGUUCCUUGCAGAAUCUGGUAGUUUACUUAGGUGGAUUUAGAAUCCCUUAGAAUUAGAAAUCUUUUAUUUAUCCUAAUAUAUUUCAAAAAAUAUUUUAUGUUUAUAAUAAGAGUCUCUUUAGCGUCCUUGCGCCUGGCCGUGAAGGGAAGUUCACAUUUGAGCUUUAAUUCAUCACUGAGGAUACUUUUGAUUAUCUCUAUCAAAAGUAUCCAGUUUGAACCUGAUUGAAAUGGAUACAUUGUGGCACAAUCGAUUGUAAUAGACUUUUCCACUAGCAGCAAUGCAAUGUCCCGGGACAACCCAGAAGAACUUAGGAGAAAGAAUGCUAUCCACGUCCAGAGAAAGAAUUGUGGGAGCAGAAACACAAAAGAAAAACAUGAUCGAUCAUGUGGUUCAGUAGGGAUAUGAUUAGGAUUUUGAUGUUAAAAGAUCGCUGUAUUACAAAUAUGAAUAACAUGGAAAUCGGUUUUGAACAAUGAUACAUGUAUAAAACCCAGUGAAACUGCUUGUCAGCUUCAGGAGUGGGGAAGAAAGAGCAGGGAGUGGGGCAGAAUUAUGAAUCAUAUAACCAUGGAAAAAUUCUAAAUUAAAAAAGACAAUAAAAAAGAAUAAAGGCUAUGUACAUUAUAACACUUAAAUAUUUUUUGACUAAAUGACUGUCAUCAUUUCUUGGGAGUGAAUUGGGCGUUGUCUGAAUGUCAGGAUGGUUAGAAACCUGAUAUUUGUCUUUGCAUCAGUCAUAGUUGCAUCUUAUCAUCACAUAUUACCAUUUCACCUCUAAGACACUGAACUUUGUGCUAACCCUGUCACAUCACCACUACCUUACCUGUUAGCCUAUCCACGUCUCCACAGUUAUUAAAACUGCUGCUUUUCCAUGUCUUUUGUGAUCAUUGGUCUUUUAAUUGUUUAUCCAUUUACCUACACUGAGUUCCUUAAGCAGUCCUGACUGUAAGCAGAAAAGUGGUUAAUUAUAAAAAAAAGUUUGGACUGGAUUAUUUAAGAAUAGGGUUGUCAGGAAUUUAAUUGAUUCCAAAGAGAUUUAUUUAUAAUUUAUUUACAAAAUAUAGAAGGAGUGAAGUGAGAAAAUCAGAGAGGAUAGGGUAAUAUAUCUAGCCUAAGCACCAAGUAAUUUACUCCCUGCCCUGGCCUCAACCUGGAAAGAGAGAGUUACUCCUUAGCCAGAGAGGCCUGUAAAGCCAAGGACCUGGGGGAGUCUCUCUCAAGAGGCUGAUCUUUCUUUAGGCUAGUCUCUUCAGAAAAUCCAGGAAAAGAGUCAGCUUUUUCACUCAUCACGUGUCAGUCCAAAGGGAGUGAAGGAUAGUCUCACCAGGAACAAGGUCUCAGGUCCAGUCAGCAGAUGCUUCAGCAGCCUCCAACUCAAACUCAGACCUCCAGAAGAAGCCAAAAUACAAGUUGAACUUCCCUUAGGAAGUUGUAACUCCCUUUUAAAGACACUUUCUUUUGUGUCACUUCCUAUGCCUUCCCCUAAUUUUAUGUCUAUCAAUCACACUUAGGACUGCCCAGGGGGCAGUCAGUUUGAUUCUGAUUUGGCACCCGUUAUUACACACGUGGAUCACAGACCUCCCCCUACUCAAUGAUAAAGUGGGAUAUUUACACUUUCGGUGAUUAAAUCUAAAAAUGGGCAGGGGAGUUAAUUUUCACAAUCAGAGGAGGGUUAAGUUCAUUUUCACAAUCAGGGGAGAGUUAAAUUUAAUCUUCACAUGACUUCUUGGUAAAUGACAUUGAAAAAUUAGAAUAUGUCCGGAGGAGGGCUACCAGGAUGGUGUGAAGGCUAUUAGAGCCAUAUCACAUAAUAAUUAGUUGAAGGGAGACAUUUAAUUUGCAGAAGAUCAAGCAAGAGCACAAUAAUUGUAUGGAUGUAUCUGAAGGGCUCGUGUGUGGAAAAGGGAAAAGACUAAUAUGGGUAGGUGGGCAGAACUAAUGGGUGGAAACUUUAGGUUGUCAUAGUGGGAGCUCACUAUGAGGAAUAACUUACCUAACUCUGAGGAACUUAACAGUUGGAGCUAUCCAAAAGUGAAAAGGAAUACUAAAAUAGUGAUUAGAUAGUAACUGGAGUUGUUCAAGCAAAUAUUUAAUUGACCACUCUUUUAGGAUAUCUAAAAGGAAAUUCCAUAUUAGAGGGGAAGCAGAACAAUAUUUCCAAGAUACUUUCAAAUCUUACAUCCUAGAGGUAUUAUGGUAUAAUGGUUUAAGGUCACUGGGCUCAAAGUCACAUCUAAAUUCUAGUUCCAACUUUGCUAUUCAUGGGCAAAGUAUUAUGUGCCCAUAGAUGGCAGUUUAAUUUUUCCAGGAACCUACUGUGCAAUUUGGGUUCUCAAUAAAAGCUGAAUGAAUAAGUAAAUGAACAUUUCUGAUCUGUGGUAUUUCUCUUCUGGAAGCAUCUAGAUAGGUGAUGCAUUCAUUAGAUAAAAAUGUUGGAGCUGGAAUCAGAGAGAACUGGUUUCAAAUUUGAACUAUGGCAUUUGGGGGCUAUCUGACCCUGGAGAAGUCACUUCACUUCUGUCUGCUCAGUUUCUUUCAGUGUAAAAUGAGACUAAUAAUAGAACCCCACUUCCUAGGCUUGUUGUGAAAAAGGAAAGAAGAAAUGAAGGAAGAAUGCCUACUAUGUGCCAGGCUUUGUGCUCAGCACUUUACAAAUAUUAUGUUUUCCUCACAAUAAUCUUGGGAGGUAGUUGUUACUAUUAAACACCUUUUAUAGUUGAGGAAACUGAAUUUGAAAGAUAAGUGACUUGCCUAAGGUCGAGUCUUACAUUAAUUAAUAAGUGUCUGAGCCUGGAUUUGAAUGCAGCUGUUUCUUUUGAAUGAAAGUUUUUAGCUCCAUCAGUAUCCAUGCCUAGAUAUUUUGUAAAGCCCUCUGUAAACCUUAAAGUGUUAUAUUAGUGCUAGCUAUUAUUAUCAUUAAUUUAUCUUAUUUUUAUUUUCAAAUGGACAGCUUUUUAUAUAUUACAUGAAAUUAUGAAAUGGCAACCUUUAAUUUUAGAGGUCAAGGGAUUUCAUACAUACAUUAUUUAUUAAAAAGAAAUUUGAAGAGAAGACUUCCGGGUAAACACAGUGGCAAUCUAGACAUGAAUUGCUUCCUCUCCCCCGAACUGAACGAAAUAGACUACCUCAAAAGACCACAGAAAUCAUCUUUAGAAGAUUGGAGGGACUCACUAGCAGCCCACAGCAACGACGGUACAUGGGUUUUGAACAUUUCCACACUAUAAGAGGGAGAGAAAGCUCGCUGCCAAGCAUGAGCUGAGCUGAGCUGCCCUCCUCUACCCCGGAGUAGGGACCAGUGCACUCACUGGAGACAGCGAGUGAGUGAGGAACAUCUCUGCAGUGAGUGGGGAGCACUCCAGGGUCCUUGGGAUCUAAAGAGGAUUCCCAGAGAACUACCGCUCAGAGCAGUUUCACUGGAGAGCGCGCAGACCGUGGGGGCUUCUGCAAACUGCAAACGCCGUGGUGGCUCUAGAAAUUGCCUGAGGCAAAAUCUCCUCUGCUCCUUGUUGUAGGGGGGAGGGGCACGCCAGGGUCCCUGGGAACUGAUAAGGACUACCAGGGAUCUAUCCCGUGGAGUAGUUUUACAGGGGAAGCCUGCCAGCGUGGGAGAGAAGAGACCACUGACUGCAUGGGUGGUGCACUAACAAACUUUGGAGGCUGGGAAGAAUCAGCCUGAGGCAAAAACAUCAAAAUCUGCCCAUUUCACUCAGAUUUCUGACUGAAAAGGAAAGGGAAAACCACCAAAGGGAUGUCUCAGAGUGCCCAAGAUCAACCCUCCAAGAAGAAAGGGAAAACCCAGGCUACAGACAAAAAAAGAGGAUGAAAUGCUAACAAAAUUAAAACACGCCCCCCCAAAAUGGAAACUAUCCACAAGCUCAGGAAGAACUCAAAAUGGAGCUUAUCCAAAAGAUGGAAACCUUCUGGCAAGAAAAAUGGGAACAAAUUCAAAAAGAGGUCUUUAGCCUGAUAGACAAAAUCUCACAAUUGGAGAAAGAGUUGGAAGCCUCUAACAGAAGGGAAGACCAAACUGAAAAGCAAAACCAGUUCUUAAAGACCAGAAUUAAGCAACUGGAAGACAGUAAUCUUGCAAAACAGGAAGAUUUGAUAAAGCAAUGUCAAAAAAUUAAUGCAAUAGAAGAAAACAUAAUAUCUCCCUGAAAAGGUGACAGACCAGGAAAACAGAGGAAGGAGAGACAACUUGAGAAUUAUUGGUCUACCUGAAAAACCAGAGAUUAACAAAAACUUCGUUGCCAUACUACAAGAAAUCAUCAAAGAGAAUUGCCCUGACAUUCUCAAACAAGAGGACAAAAUAGAAAUCUAAAGAGUUCAUAGAACACCCUCUAUACUAAACCCCCAAAAGACAACCCCCAGGAAUGUAAUCGCCAAAUUCAAGAGCUUCCAAACUAAGGAGAAAAUAUUACAAGAAGCUAGGAAGAGAAACUUCAGAUACAGAGGCUUGUCAAUAAGGAUCACACAUGACCUAGCAGCGAACAAGCUAAGAGACCAUAAAGCCUGGAACACAAUAUACAGAAAAGCAAGAGAACUGGGUCUUCAACCAAGAAUCAGCUACCCAUCAAAACUGACUAUAUACUUCCAGGGGGAAGUAUGGGCAUUUGACAAAAUAGAAGAUUUCCAAAUAUUCAUAAAGAAAAGACCAGAACUCAGUGGAAAGUUUGACAUCCAAACACAAAGAGCAAGAGAAACAUGAAAAGGUAAAUAUGAAAGAAAGGGAAAAGGAGAAAAGUGUUUUAGUUUUUCUUUUAUUCAAACUCUCUUCUAUAAGGGCCACAAUUAGAUCAAAUUAUAUAUACUAACAUAUGGGGGAAAUGUUAUGUGCAACUUUCAAAAAUUGUAUGCAUUAAUAGAGUAAUCAGAAGAGUCACUCAUAGGGAAAGAUUGGGGCAUUAACAUGAUUUGGAGUGGAGGGAGGAAAAAAUAAAGAAAAAGGAAAGCGGGAAUCAAGGUACUAAGAUAUACUUGAAAAAACAGAAAUACAUUAAAUAGAACAAUCUUUGUCACACAAAGAUAUACAUGGGAAGGGGAGGAGAAGAAUUCUUUUAUAAGAAGGAGAAGAAAAGAGCCAAUUGGCAAUACUAAUACCUUACUCUCAGUGAAACCAACUCUGAGAGGGAAGAGCAUCUAGAUCCAUUGGGAUCUUAAUUCUAUCUUACCCAACAGGAUAAGGGAGAAGGGAAAACCAAGGGAGGUGGGGGGGGGGAACUGUUAUGGUGGAAAUUUUCACCUUUAGGAUUGAUGUAAUAUUGAACAAUGGCCGCCAAGGAAUUUACUUAUGAAAUUCCUAAAAUGACUCAAGUCAGAAUGGAGUUUAUGGAGGUUUAAUCACACUGGGAGUAGGGAAAGGAGAGGGAGAGAAGGAGAGAAGAGAAAA